rnacentral:rRNA from 1 species
GCCAUUAUGCCUGGAAUGGUUUAUGGCUCAAAUGAUUUAUCGCUGUAGGAUGGGACUGCGGUCUAUCAGCUUGUUUGUGAGGUAAUGGCCCACCAAGGCUAUAACAGAUACGGGCUCUGAGAGGAGAAGCCCGGAGAUGGGUACUGAGACACGGACCCAGGCCCUAUGGGGCGCAGCAGGCGAGAAAACUUUGCAAUGUGCGAAAGCACGACAAGGUUAGUCCGAGCGUUUUCUGCUAAAGAAAUCUUUUGUCAGUCCUAAAAACACUGACGAAUAAGGGGUGGGCAAGUUCUGGUGUCAGCCGCCGCGGUAAAACCAGCACCUCAAGUGGUCAGGAGGAUUAUUGGGCCUAAAGCAUCCGUAGCCUGCUUUGUAAGUUUUCGGUUAAAUCCAUAUGCUCAACAUAUGGGCUGCCGGGAAUACUGCACAGCUAGGGAGUGGGAGAGGUAGACGGUACUCGGUAGGAAGGGGUAAAAUCCUUUGAUCUAUUGAUGACCACCUGUGGCGAAGGCGGUCUACCAGAACACGUCCGAUGGUGAGGGAUGAAAGCUGGGGGAGCAAACCGGAUUAGAUACCCGGGUAGUCCCAGCUGUAAACUAUGCAAACUCAGUGAUGCGUUGGCUUGUAGCCAGUGCAGUG